CCUACGGGGGGCUGCAGUGGGGAAUAUUGCACAAUGGGCGAAAGCCUGAUGCAGCAACGCCGCGUGAGCGAUGAAGGCCUUCGGGUCGUAAAGCUCUGUCCUCAAGGAAGAUAGUGACGGUACUUGAGGAGGAAGCCACGGCUAACUACGUGCCAGCAGCCGCGGUAAUACGUAGGUGGCGAGCGUUGUCCGGAUUUACUGGGCGUAAAGGGAGCGUAGGCGGAUUUUUAAGUGAGAUGUGAAAUACCCGGGCUCAACUUGGGUGCUGCAUUUCAAACUGGAAGUCUAGAGUGCAGGAGAGGAGAGUGGAAUUCCUAGUGUAGCGGUGAAAUGCGUAGAUAUUAGGAGGAACACCAGUAGCGAAGGCGGCUCUCUGGACUGUAACUGACGCUGAGGCACGAAAGCGUGGGGAGCAAACAGGAUUAGAUACCCUGGUA
rnacentral:rRNA from 1 species